CACCGACCUGAUGACACUGAUGUGGAACUGGUCCUCGCGAAGGCCUCGCCAGGCGCCGGGCAGGAACUCCUUGCACCACAGUCUACACAAUAGGAUGCAUGUUGAUGACUCAAAGGCUGGCCGGAGUCAGGCAGGGGUGGCCCGCGUCCGUCAUCGCAGCUACUCAGGAAGCUAUGCUGGUGUUUCAAGCUGGGCGGAGCCAGGGCUCCUGAAUCUGCAGCCAGUCAGUCUGGGGACAAAGCUCUCCCGAGCACUAAGGCCAGGAGGCCGGCCAGCUCCCUGCGGGGAGAACGGAGGCGGUGUGGGCAGGUGCAGACUCCGCAGAGAACAUCCUAGAUCACACAGUCUGCCUCACACGAGGGCUUCAUGGAGAAAAUCUGAUGUCUUCUUGAUAUAGUAAACACCGACCCAUUGUUUUAAUUUCCGAAUUUAUUAAAAUGAUUAACCUCAAUACUGCAAGUGCAUGUACAAAAUAUUUGUAAAAAAUGUUUUUAAUGAAACGUUAAAGAACUUA